rnacentral:rRNA from 1 species
AUUGAACGCUGGCGGCAUGCCUUACACAUGCAAGUCGAACGGCAGCACGGGAGCAAUCCUGGUGGCGAGUGGCGAACGGGUGAGUAAUAUAUCGGAACGUGCCCAGUCGUGGGGGAUAACGCAGCGAAAGCUGUGCUAAUACCGCAUACGAUCUAUGGAUGAAAGCGGGGGACUCGCAAGGGCCUCGCGCGAUUGGAGCGGCCGAUAUCAGAUUAGGUAGUUGGUGGGGUAAAGGCUCACCAAGCCGACGAUCUGUAGCUGGUCUGAGAGGACGACCAGCCACACUGGAACUGAGACACGGUCCAGACUCCUACGGGAGGCAGCAGUGGGGAAUUUUGGACAAUGGGCGCAAGCCUGAUCCAGCAAUGCCGCGUGCAGGAUGAAGGCCUUCGGGUUGUAAACUGCUUUUGUACGGAACGAAAAGGCUCUGGUUAAUACCUGGGGCACAUGACGGUACCGUAAGAAUAAGCACCGGCUAACUACGUGCCAGCCGCCGCGGUAAGAC